rnacentral:rRNA from 1 species
CGAAUGCUGACAUAAGUAACGAUAAAGCGGGUGAAAAGCCCGCUCGCCGGAAGACCAAGGGUUCCUGUCCAACGUUAAUCGGGGCAGGGUGAGUCGACCCCUAAGGCGAGGCCGAAAGGCGUAGUCGAUGGGAAACAGGUUAAUAUUCCUGUACUUGGUGUUACUGCGAAGGGGGGACGGAGAAGGCUAUGUUGGCCGGGCGACGGUUGUCCCGGUUUAAGCGUGUAGGCUGGUUUUCCAGGCAAAUCCGGAAAAUCAAGGCUGAGGCGUGAUGACGAGGCACUACGGUGCUGAAGCAACAAAUGCCCUGCUUCCAGGAAAAGCCUCUAAGCAUCAGGUAACAUCAAAUCGUACCCCAAACCGACACAGGUGGUCAGGUAGAGAAUACCAAGGCGCUUGAGAGAACUCGGGUGAAGGAACUAGGCAAAAUGGUGCCGUAACUUCGGGAGAAGGCACGCUGAUAUGUAGGUGAGGUCCCUCGCGGAUGGAGCUGAAAUCAGUCGAAGAUACCAGCUGGCUGCAACUGUUUAUUAAAAACACAGCACUGUGCAAACACGAAAGUGGACGUAUACGGUGUGACGCCUGCCCGGUGCCGGAAGGUUAAUUGAUGGGGUUAGCGCAAGCGAAGCUCUUGAUCGAAGCCCCGGUAAACGGCGGCCGUAACUAUAACGGUCCUAAGGUAGCGAAAUUCCUUGUCGGGUAAGUUCCGACCUGCACGAAUGGCGUAAUGAUGGCCAGGCUGUCUCCACCCGAGACUCAGUGAAAUUGAACUCGCUGUGAAGAUGCAGUGUACCCGCGGCAAGACGGAAAGACCCCGUGAACCUUUACUAUAGCUUGACACUGAACAUUGAGCCUUGAUGUGUAGGAUAGGUGGGAGGCUUAGAAGUGUGGACGCCAGUCUGCAUGGAGCCGACCUUGAAAUACCACCCUUUAAUGUUUGAUGUUCUAACGUUGACCCGUAAUCCGGGUUGCGGACAGUGUCUGGUGGGUAGUUUGACUGGGGCGGUCUCCUCCUAAAGAGUAACGGAGGAGCACGAAGGUUGGCUAAUCCUGGUCGGACAUCAGGAGGUUAGUGCAAUGGCAUAAGCCAGCUUGACUGCGAGCGUGACGGCGCGAGCAGGUGCGAAAGCAGGUCAUAGUGAUCCGGUGGUUCUGAAUGGAAGGGCCAUCGCUCAACGGAUAAAAGGUACUCCGGGGAUAACAGGCUGAUACCGCCCAAGAGUUCAUAUCGACGGCGGUGUUUGGCACCUCGAUGUCGGCUCAUCACAUCCUGGGGCUGAAGUAGGUCCCAAGGGUAUGGCUGUUCGCCAUUUAAAGUGGUACGCGAGCUGGGUUUAGAACGUCGUGAGACAGUUCGGUCCCUAUCUGCCGUGGGCGCUGGAGAACUGAGGGGGGCUGCUCCUAGUACGAGAGGACCGGAGUGGACGCAUCACUGGUGUUCGGGUUGUCAUGCCAAUGGCACUGCCCGGUAGCUAAAUGCGGAAGAGAUAAGUGCUGAAAGCAUCUAAGCACGAAACUUGCCCCGAGAUGAGUUCUCCCUGACUCCUUGAGAGUCCU